rnacentral:rRNA from 1 species
GUGAGUGACACGURCUCWACGUACCCCUCAGUUUGGCAUAGCGAUAGGAAACUGUCGAUAAUUUCAAAUACUCGUUGUUUUCGCAUGAAAACAACGUAAAAGGUGCUUCGGCAUCGCUGGGGGAGCGGGGUGCGCAACAUUAGCUAGUUGGUGAGGUAACGGCCCACCAAGGCGAUGAUGUUUAGCGGGGUUGAGAGACUGAUCCGCCACACUGGGACUGAGAUACGGCCCAGACUCCUACGGGAGGAGGCAGUAGGGAAUAUUCCACAAUGAGCGAAAGCUUGAUGGAGCGACACAGCGUGCAGGAUGAAGGUCCUCUGGAUUGUAAACUGCUGUGGUAAGGGAAGAAAAAAUAGUGUAGGUAAUGACAUUAUCUUGACGGUACCUUAUUAGAAAGCAACGGCUAACUAUGUGCCACCAGCCGCGGUAAUACAUAGGUUGCAAGCGUUAUCCGAAUUUAUUGGGCGUAAAGCGUCUGUAGGUUGUUUAUUAAGUCUGGCGUCAAAAUUUGGGGCUCAACCCCAAACCGCGUUGGAUACUGGUAGACUAGAGUUGUGCAAAGGUUAGCGGAAUUCCUUGUGAAGCGGUGAAAUGCGUAGAUAUAAGGAAGAACACCAAUAUGGCGAAGGCGGCUAACUGUGGCAUACACUGACACUGAGAGACAAAAGCGUGGGGAGCAAACAAGAUUAGAUACCCUGGUAGUCCACGCCCUAAACGAUGAUCAUUAGUUGAUGGAAAAAUCAUCGACGCAGCUCACGCAUUAAAUGAUCCGCCUGAGUAGUACGUUCGCAAGAAUAAAACUUAAAGGAAUUGACGGGGAUCCGCACAAGCGGUGGAGCAUGUGGUUUUAUUUGAAGAUACGCGUAGAACCUUACCUACUCUUGACAUC